GAAACGUGAACGUUUGGGUUAAGUUGGGGGUUGUUGCUGGUUCUUUUGGGCAUGUGCACACCUCGACUCCAAGUGUUCCGAGUUCUUUCUUCACACCCUUGUGCACCAUCUGUAGCUGGGGAUGAUCACGAAGCCUUUGGGUUUCGAAUGCCUCGGCUAUGAAGUUUUGCUACACACCCCUUUGUAAAAGUUUAUUGGAAUGUUUGUAAAUGCGUCUUCGAUGGCGCGAAUCGAAUACAACUUUCAGCAACGGAUCUCUUGGCUCU
rnacentral:misc_RNA from 1 species